rnacentral:rRNA from 1 species
CGCUCUUCAACGAGGAAUCCCUAGUAAGCGCGAGUCAUUAGCUCGCGUUGAUUACGUCCCUGCCCUUUGUACACACCGCCCGUCGCUACUACCGAUUGAAUGGCUUAGUGAGACUUUCGGAUGUGUUUGGAGCCGCUGGCAACAGUGACACCUUGCGCAGAAGUUAUUCAAACUUGGUCAUUUAGAGGAAGUAAAAGUCGUAACAAGGUUUCCGUAGGUGAACCUGCGGAAGGAUCAUU